ACUCCCUGCUGCUCCCCCGGAUGAGACUCACCUGACGUAAUUGCUUGACGCGUGGAGCCACUCUCAGUGACCACGUAGGCCCCACACGUCAGUGACCAUGUCCCUCUGACAUGAACGUAAGAGGAACCACUUCCUGCUCCCCUUGCCCCUGAAGGCUCACCCAUUGUUGUUGCUGUUGCUGGGCAUGAGGAGGGAGGAGGAGGAAGGGGAAGGCAACAAGGAAGAAGGGGAUUCCCUAUGGAUUCUCACUGUGGUGCUCCAAGGUGGUGCUACUUCGGGACCCAAUUAGCGUUCAUCAUAUUCGUCGAUAAAGAUAAGUGAAUGUAACAGUUGUGCUACAACUUUAACUUUUCUUUUUACUAUCUACGCUCUAAAAAUGCAGUACAUAUAAUUAUGCUUAGUGAUUUGAAUUAAUGAAGAAUUUGUUGUUUAAAACAUGUCUAAGAGGUAGGAUGUACUUAGGUAGAUGGUAGCUUUGAGUUAGAUGAGCAACCGAAGAUCAUAACUUAGGGUUAUUUCUAUAUUUCUCAUAACUGGUAAGGGGAUGAAGUUCUUGAUGACUUAUACAUGUUUAAUAUGAAAGAAGUUAAUCAUGGGUUAGCAUAAGAGGAUUAGUUGCCUUAUUGAUGCCUUACAUAGAAGAAGUUUUUCAUGUGAUUAUAUGAUAAAGUUUAUUGUUCAGUUUAUAUUUAAUAUGUCGCUAUAUGGCCAUAAGGUAUUUAUUUAUGUUAGGAUGAAUAUACGUGAAGAACACAUUGUUUAUAUUUCUCUUUCCAAGGUAUAUUGUUGAAGAUCAUGUUAUAUGACUUUUACCUUUCGGUAUUUGAAGUAUUGCAGUGCAUAUUAAUGCAUCUUUGCAUUCAUGUCAUGAAUAAGUGCAUCCAAGCCAAGUCGGUGGGUUAAGUCAUAUAACUAUUCUAGAGUGCAUUUAAAUCAGGUCAGUAAGAAAGUUAUAUGACUAUUUCGAAAUGCUCUUGAGAAAUAAUUUGCAUUUGAAGGUAUAUCGCCGUCUUAUAGCCGCGACCGUACUGAUACAAUAUCGUACGUUACUCGAGGAGGGGUACAAUGCAGAUUCAUACUUCAUCGAGCAUGAAGGCAAUGGACUAACAAGCAUUAAGCCACAUACUACGACGGGUGUGCAUAAGCAUGGCUUAUCCAUCAUGAAAGGGAAGGGGUUUAGUAGCACACACACUACAUUCGGUUGUAGCCUCAUUUGUUCAUGUUGGUAGCUAAGCUGACAUGUGUAAUGUAACUAAUAAAUUGAAGUAUGGUUUAAUUAUGGAUUAAAUUUGCUCUAUAUUGUUCAGUAUA